rnacentral:rRNA from 1 species
UACGUAGGGGGCUAGCGUUGUCCGGAAUCAUUGGGCGUAAAGCGCGCGUAGGCGGCCAGAUAAGUCCGGUGUGAAAGUCACAGGCUCAACCUGUGAAUGCCGCUGGAAACUGUCUGGCUUGAGUCCGGAAGGGGCGAGUGGAAUUCCUGGUGUAGCGGUGAAAUGCGCAGAUAUCAGGAAGAACACCCGUGGCGAAAGCGGCUCUCUGGAACGGUACUGACGCUGAGAGCGAAAAGCGUGGGGAGCGAACAGG